GGAGAGGUGGCCGAGCGGCUGAAGGCGGCAGUCUCGAAAACUGUUGUGGGGGAAACUCCACCGGGGGUUCAAAUCCCCCCCUCUCCGCCA
rnacentral:tRNA from 2 species